GUGCUGGCUUUGGCAGCACAUACAUUAAAAUGAGGACGAUACAGAGAAGAUUAGCAUGGCCCCUG
ensembl:snRNA U6 U6 spliceosomal RNA